rnacentral:rRNA from 1 species
UGGGGAAUAUUGGACAAUGGGCGCAAGCCUGAUCCAGCCAUGCCGCGUGAGUGACGAAGGCCUUAGGGUUGUAAAGCUCUUUUUGGCGGGGAAGAUAAUGACGGUACCCGCAGAAUAAGCUCCGGCUAACUUCGUGCCAGCAGCCGCGGUAAUACGAAGGGAGCUAGCGUUGUUCGGAAUCACUGGGCGUAAAGCGCACGUAGGCGGAUGUGUCAGUCAGGGGUGAAAUCCCGGAGCUCAACUUCGGAACUGCCCUUGAUACAGCACGUCUUGAGUCCGAUAGAGGUGGGUGGAAUUCCUAGUGUAGAGGUGAAAUUCGUAGAUAUUAGGAAGAACACCGGUGGCGAAGGCGGCCCACUGGAUCGGUACUGACGCUGAGGUGCGAAAGCGUGGGGAGCAAACAGGAUUAGAUACCCGUGUAGUCCCUGAGCGGGCUGGCAAGGCGCAU